rnacentral:rRNA from 1 species
UACGUAGGGUGCAAGCGUUAUCCGGAAUUAUUGGGCGUAAAGAGCUCGUAGGCGGUUUGUCGCGUCUGCCGUGAAAGUCCGGGGCUCAACUCCGGAUCUGCGGUGGGUACGGGCAGACUAGAGUGAUGUAGGGGAGACUGGAAUUCCUGGUGUAGCGGUGAAAUGCGCAGAUAUCAGGAGGAGCACCGAUGGCGAAGGCAGGUCUCUGGGCAUUAACUGACGCUGAGGAGCGAAAGCGUGGGGAGCGAACAGG